CAGGUGCUGCAUGGCUGUCGUCAGCUCGUGUUGUGAAAUGUUGGGUUAAGUCCCGCAACGAGCGCAACCCUUAUCCUUUGUUGCCAGCGAUUCGGUCGGGAACUCAAAGGAGACUGCCGGUGAUAAACCGGAGGAAGGUGGGGAUGACGUCAAGUCAUCAUGGCCCUUACGAGUAGGGCUACACACGUGCUACAAUGGCGCAUACAAAGAGAAGCGACCUCGCGAGAGCAAGCGGACCUCACAAAGUGCGUCGUAGUCCGGAUCGGAGUCUGCAACUCGACUCCGUGAAGUCGGAAUCGCUAGUAAUCGUGGAUCAGAAUGCCACGGUG
rnacentral:rRNA from 1 species